GUCUACGGCCACGCCACCCUGAACGUGCGCGAUCUCGUCUGAUGUCGGAAGCUCAGCAGGGUCGGGCCUGGUUAGUCCUUGGAUGGGAGACCACCUAGGAAGACCAGGUGCCGUAGGCG
rnacentral:rRNA from 1 species